UACAGAGGGUGCAAGCGUUGCUCGGAAUUAUUGGGCGUAAAGGGUAGGUAGGUGGUCUCAUUUGUCGGGGGUGAAAGCCUUGGGCUUAACCCAAGAAGUGCCUUCGAAACGGUGAGACUGGAGUCCUGGAGAGGGUCGUGGAAUUCCCGGUGUAGCGGUGAAAUGCGUAGAGAUCGGGAGGAACACCAGAGGCGAAGGCGGCGACCUGGACAGGUACUGACACUCAACUACGAAAGCGUGGGGAGCAAGCAGG
rnacentral:rRNA from 1 species